UACGAACUGUGCAAACGUUAUUCGGAAUCACUGGGCUUACAGGGUGCGUAGGCGGCUUGUUAAGUAGGGUGUGAAAUCCCCCGGCUCAACCGGGGAAUGGCGCCCUAAACUGGCGAGCUGGAGUGAGAUAGGGGUGUGCGGAACUUCCGGUGGAGCGGUGAAAUGUGUUGAUAUCGGAAGGAACGCCGGUGGCGAAAGCGGCACACUGGAUCUCAACUGACGCUGAGGCACGAAAGCCAGGGGAGCGAACGGG
rnacentral:rRNA from 1 species